rnacentral:rRNA from 1 species
CCAGAGAUGGAUUGGUGCCUUCGGGAACUCUGACACAGGUGCUGCAUGGCUGUCGUCAGCUCGUGUCGUGAGAUGUUGGGUUAAGUCCCGUAACGAGCGCAACCCUUGUCCUUAGUUACCAGCACGUUAUGGUGGGCACUCUAAGGAGACUGCCGGUGACAAACCGGAGGAAGGUGGGGGAUGACGUCAAGUCAUCAUGGCCCUUACGGCCUGGGCUACACACGUGCUACAAUGGUCGGUACAAAGGGUUGCCAAGCCGCGAGGUGGAGCUAAUCCCAUAAAACCGAUCGUAGUCCGGAUCGCAGUCUGCAACUCGACUGCGUGAAGUCGGAAUCGCUAGUAAUCGUGAAUCAGAAUGUCACGGUGAAUACGUUCCCGGGCCUU